rnacentral:snRNA from 1 species
AAAAAUGCAGGGGAGACACCAUGAUCAUGAAGGUGGUUUUCCCAGGGUGAGGCUCAUCCAUUGCACUCCGGGUGUGCUGACCCCCGCGAUUUCCCCAAAUGCGGGAAACUCGACUGCAUAAUUUGUGGUAGUGGGGGACUGCAUUCGCGCUUUCCCCUG